GUAAAUAAUUAAGGGCGUAUGGUGGAUGCCUAGGCUCUCAGAGGCGAUGAAGGACGUGAUAAGCUGCGAAAAGCUCCGUUUAGGUGCAAAUAACCUUUGAUGCGGAGAUUUCCGAAUGGGAUAACCCAAUAUGUUGAAGACAUAUUAUACCGUAAGGUAGGCAAACGCAGGGAACUGAAACAUCUAAGUACCUGCAGGAGAAGAAAACAAAAGUGAUUCCCCCAGUAGCGGCGAGCGACCGGGGAUAAGCCCAAACCGUUAUUGUUUCGGCAGUAGCGGGGUAGUAGGACUGCGACAUUGAUGAAAUAAAUGAAAUGGAACACCUUGGAAAAUGUGAUCACAGAGGGUGAUAAUCCCGUACAUGCAAGUUUAUGAAUCAUAGCAGUAUCCUGAGUAAGUCGGGACACGUGUAAUCCUGACCGAAUCCGCCGGGACCAUCCGGCAAGGCUAAAUACUCCUGAGAGACCGAUAGUGAACCAGUACCGUGAGGGAAAGGUGAAAAGCACUUCGAACAGAAGAGUGAAAUAGUCCCUGAACCCAUACGCCUACAAGCUGUCGGAGCCGCUUCGUGCGGUGACGGCGUGCCUUUUGCAUAAUGAGCCUACGAGUUACUCAUCACCAGCGAGGUUAAGUACUUCAGGUACGUAAGCCGAAGCGAAAGCGAGUCUGAAUAGGGCGUCAAGUUGGUGGUGGUAGACGCGAAACCUUAGUGAUCUACCCAUGGGCAGGGUGAAGGUUUGGUAACACAAACUGGAGGCCCGAACCGGUAAACGUUGAAAAGUUUUCGGAUGACCUGUGGGUAGGGGUGAAAGGCCAAUCAAACUGGGAAAUAGCUCGUACUCUCCGAAAUGCAUUUAGGUGCAGCCUCUGUUGUUUUGUUCUAGAGGUAGAGCUACUGAUUGGAUGCGAGGGCUUCACCGCCUAUCAAAUCCGGAUAAACUCCGAAUGCUAGAACAUCAAACCAUGGAGUGAGCCCGCGGGUGCUAAGGUCCGCGGACGAGAGGGAAAGAACCCGGACCACCGGCUAAGGUCCCGGAUGGACAGUUAAGUUGAUCAAACGAGGUGGGAUCGCGGAGACAGCUAGGAUGUUGGCUUGGAAGCAGCCAUUCAUUUAAAGAGUGCGUAACAGCUCACUAGUCGAGCGAUCCCGCGUGGAUAAUACACGGGCAUCAAACUGUCAACCGAAGCCGUGGGGUCAGCGAAAAGCUGACCGGUAGGAGAGCAUUCCUGCCAGCGUUGAAGGUCACCCGCGAGAGUGACUGGAGCGGCAUGAAAAGCAAAUGUAGGCAUAAGUAACGAUAAUGGGGGCGAGAACCCCCCACGCCGCAAGACCAAGGCUUCCCCGGCAAUGUCAAUCAGCCGGGGGUCAGCCGGCCUCUAAGGCUAACCCGAACGGGGAUGCCGACGAGAAACGGGUUAACAUUCCCGUGCUUCUCGUCACCGUGACGCGGUGACGGGGUGAUGAAUGGACCGCGCGCUGACGGAAUAGCGCGUUGAAGGCCGUACCCUUCGAGGGUGGUAGUCAAGCACGCCACCCGAGGCGAUAGCCGAUAGUACCACGAGACUCCGGUCGAGUGGAUAGCGUCCAGGCAAUUUACCCCCGAGAAAACCCGCUAAACUUCAAGUGACGAGGAACCGUACUGUAAACGGACACACGUGGUCGGGUAGAACAUACCAAGGCGCUCGAGUGAUUCAUGGUCAAGGAACUAGGCAAAAUAGUCCUGUAACUUCGGGAAAAAGGACGCUCUAGUGAUAGAGCCGCAGAGUAAUGGCCCAGGCGACUGUUUACCAAAAACACAUGGCUAUGCCAAAUCGAAAGAUGACGUAUAUGGCCUGACACCUGCCCGGUGCCGGAAGGUUAAGAGGAGAGCUCAUCGGAAACGAGAAGGUUUGAAUUGAAGCCCCGGUAAACGGCGGCCGUAACUAUAACGGUCCUAAGGUAGCGAAAUUCCUUGUCGGGU
rnacentral:rRNA from 1 species